UACAUAGGGGGCGAGCGUUAUCCGGAAUUAUUGGGCGUAAAGCGUGCGUAGGCGGCCGUUUAAGUCUGUCGUGAAAGCCCACAGCUUAACUGUGGAGGGUUGAUGGAAACUGGAUGGCUUGAAUCUAGAAGAGGUAAGUGGAAUUCCAUGUGUAGCGGUAAAAUGCUUAGAUAUAUGGAGGAACACCAGUGGCGAAGGCGGCUUACUGGUCUAGCAUUGACGCUGAGGCACGAAAGCGUAGGUAGCAAACAGG
rnacentral:rRNA from 1 species